rnacentral:rRNA from 1 species
CCAAUAGCGUAUAUUAAAGUUGUUGCAGUUAAAAAGCUCGUAGUUGAAUUUCGAGACCGGUUUACUGGUCGUGCUUUUGUACGUACUGGUAUAAUCGGUUUCUCUUUUCUGACGAACUAUAAUGACAUUAAUUUGGUGUUUUAGGGAAUCAGGACUGUUACUUUGAAAAAAUUAGAGUGUUUAAAGCAGGCUCACGCUUGAAUACAUUAGCAUGGAAUAACGAAAUAGGACGUUUGAUUUUAUUUUGUUGGUUUCUAGGAUCGACGUAAUGAUUAAUAGGGAUAGUUGGGGGCAUUAGUAUUAAAUUGUCAGAGGUGAAAUUCUUGGAUUUAUUGAAGACUAACUACUGCGAAAGCAUUUGCCAAGGAUGUUUUCAUUAAUCAAGAGCGAAAGUUAGGGGAUCGAAGACGAUCAGAUACCGUCGUAGUCUUAACCAUAAACUAUGCCGACUAGGGAUCGGAUGAUGUUAAUUUUAAUGACUCAUUCGGCACCUUACG